rnacentral:rRNA from 1 species
GUGCAGCAGGCGAGAAACUUUACAAUGUGCGAAAGCACGAUAAGGGAACUCUGAGUGCCUCCUAAGGAGGCUGUUCAGGUGUCUAAAAGCACCUGAAGGAAGGGCUAGGUAAGACCGGUGCCAGCCGCCGCGGUAACACCGGCAGCCCAAGUGGUAGCCACGUUUAUUGGGUCUAAAGCGUCCGUAGCCGGCUGGGUAAGUUCCUUGGGAAAUUUGGCUGCUUAACAGUCAAGCUUUCAGGGAAUACUGCCCGGCUUGGGACCGGGAGAGGUCAGAGGUACUCCAGGGGUAGGGGUGAAAUCCAUUAAUCCUUGGGGGACCACCGGUAGCGAAGGCGUCUGACCAGACCGGGUCCGACGGUGAGGGACGAAGGCUAGGGGCGCGAACCGGAUUAGAUACCCGUGUAGU